UACCCGCCAUUGCCUCCGCCUCCGCCCUCGGUUGCUAAUGUGAUUCCGCCACCGGUGCACAUGGCCCCACCUCCGCAAUCGCACACGGCUUGUCCGCCACCGUCUCUGCCCCCUAUUACUAAUGCAGUUCCGCCACCAUCUCCACCACCGCACAUGGCUCCACCUUCCCCUCUGCCACCACACGCUGCUACAUCACUACCUCCGCAACCAUCUCCUUCUCUUCCCCCAAUUGAUAAUGUGGCUCCUAUUCUGCCACCACCGGCUCCAGCAUUUCAUUCACCGGUGGUUAAUAAACCUCCUUCAACUCGGGGUGAUGAGCCAAGUGAUUGUUCGAUGGUUUUGAUAAACGUGGAUGGGUGUGUAUCAAAUUUGAUCACUUCCUUUUUCAAUGAUCAAGUUUCAUUAUCCAUUGAUUGCUGCAGAGUCAUUUCAAGAAUUUCAGAUGAUUGCUUUGACGCAGGGUUCACACACUUCAGGGUGCCCGUUUUCCUAACAAAAGUGAGGGACUAUUGCAGUCACCACCCGACAUCACUUCCACCAUUGCCUCCACCUCCGCCCUCAGUUGAUGAUAAUGCUGUCUCGCCGUCACCUCCACCACAACACGCGGCUCUACCUCUGCCACCGCAUGUGUCUCCAUUACUACCUCCCCAACUACCUCCGUCCUGGCCCCCAGUUGAUAAUGUGGCUCCUAUACUACCACCAUCACGUCUAGCGUUUCACUCACCGGUGGUUAAUCCACCUACACCACCACCUCCUUCACAUUCGCCAUUGCACCCGGCUGCACCACCACUUAUGCCACCACACGCGGCUCCAUCACUACCACCUCAACUACCUCCAUCUCCACCACCAGUUCAUGAUAACAUGGCUCCUAUAGUGUCACCACCACCUUCAUUGACUCCUCGGGGUGAUGAAACAAGCGAUUGCUCGACGGUUCUGAUCAAUGUGGAUGGGUGUGUAUCAGAUUUAAUCACUUCCUUUUUCAAGGAUCAAGUUUCGUUAUCCGCAGAUUGCUGCAGAAUUAUUUCAAGAAUUUCAGAUGAUUGCUUUGAGAGAGCGUUCACGCACUUUAGGGUACCAGUUUUCCAAACAAAAGUGAGGGAUUAUUGCAGCCACCAAGGCUGAAGCAUGAGCAGAUCUUAACAACACAUAUUUCAUGUUUCCUGGGCGAGUCC
rnacentral:lncRNA from 1 species